GUGUCGUGAGAUGUUGGGUUAAGUCCGUAACGAGCGCAACCCUGUCCUUAGUUACCAGCACGUUAUGGUGGGCACUCUAAGGAGACUGCCGGUGACAACCGGAGGAAGGUGGGGAUGACGUCAAGUCAUCAUGGCCCUUACGGCCUGGGCUACACACGUGCUACAAUGGUCGGUACAAAGGGUUGCCAAGCCGCGAGGUGGAGCUAAUCCCAUAAAACCGAUCGUAGUCCGGAUCGCAGUCUGCAACUCGACUGCGUGAAGUCGGAAUCGCUAGUAAUCGUGAAUCAGAAUGUCACGGUGAAUACGUUCCCGGGCCUU
rnacentral:rRNA from 1 species